rnacentral:lncRNA from 1 species
GAGAAGAUUGUCAUGCUCAAGUGAUGUUGGUAUGAGCAAGAAGCAUGUUUCAAAUCUUCUGAAAAGAGCUUCUAGCCUGAAACCAAUUCAAAAACCAGGUAAAUUAUCAGCAGGCUCCAUAUAUAUGAACUUUGUUACUUGUACUAAAUUUUGUUGUGCCACUAGCCUUUGGAUUUAGUUCAGGAACAACUCCGAGAGGACGAUCAAGGCAUCCGCCACUAAGCCCAUGUGGGCAAAGCAUGAGAGCAAACUCUGAGAGUCAACUGAUAUUGAUAAGCCCAAGGAUACGACGAUCAAACUCUGGCCAUGCCUCUGACUCUGAACUUUCCUAGUCUGCAGGAAAAACAAAGUUCAUAGUAGCAAGUUCAAAAUGAUGUACAAGUCAAAAGAAUACUAACACCUGUUGUGACACACACUCCAGUAAAUAUAAGCGCUCCAAAACGAUAAUUCUUUAUUCGAAGAUUCCUACAGAUAAUAGGCUCAUAUAGUUCAGGCAAGUGACUUAUUGAUUCAGCAGCUACAAUAUUAUCUUAAGGAAACAAUCAUAUGAGGCAAAUUACGUGCCUAGCUAGACUAGUGUCAAUAUCUCAAUAAGCAACCAAAAGCAGAUAAAAAAAUGACAUAAACUUAUUCAUGAAUUUCCUAACUCAGAGAUGCUCCAUGGAUAUAAAAAGUUCUCAAACAUCAUCAACUCACAUUAAUCAAAUUAGGGUUCGGAAUUUGGAUCCCACAACAUCAAAUAUAAGGAACGUUGAUACCUGAACAAAAAAGGGAACAGCAACUAGUAACAUGGCGGUUUGGCUUCCCAUCACCUCUCGACAAUUUCAAUUUCUCCGCCGCAGACUCCGUCACUUCCAUCGUCCGAGCUUUUUUAUCAUGUCAAUGAUUGUGAUAUUACCAAAAAGUCCCCACUCUUGUUUCGUUUUUUUCUCUCUUUUAAUGAAACUUUGAUUUGUUUUUUUUUU